rnacentral:tRNA from 1 species
GCCGCCGUGGCGUAGUGGUCAACGCGCGGACCGACCAUUUGGUGCGUUGCGGUUCGAAUACCGGCGGCGGCG